CCUACGGGUGGCAGCAGUGAGGAAUAUUGGUCAAUGGGCUUACGCCUGAACCAGCCAAGUCGCGUGAGGGAAGACUGCCCUCUGGGUUGUGAACCUCUUUUGUCAGGGAGCAACGCCGGCUACGUGUAGCCGGACUGAGAGUACCUGCAGAAAAAGCAUCGGCUAACUCCGUGCCAGCAGCCGCGGUCAUACGGAGGAUGCGAGCGUUAUCCGGAUUUAUGGGGUUUAAAGGGGGCGUCGGCGGAAUGCCAAGUCAGCGGUAACAUCGCGGGGCUCAACCUCGCUCCGCCGUUGAAACUGGCUGUCUUGAGGGGGCGAGGAGCAUGCGGAAGUCGUGGAGUAGCGGUGAAAUGCAUAGAGAUCACGCAGAACUCCGAUUGCGAAGGCAGCAUACCGGCGCCCGACUGACGCUGAGGCACGAAAGCGUGGGGAGCGAACAGGAUUAGAUACCCUAGUAGUC
rnacentral:rRNA from 1 species